rnacentral:rRNA from 1 species
AUGGAGUACUCGACGAAGCUAGUGGUGCUGCUCGUAGCUCUCGCGUCUGCCAUGGCGGUCACGGCCCAGAACUCGGAGCAGGACUUCAUGGACGCCCACAACGCGGCGCGCGCCGACGUGGGCCUUGGGGAGGUGACAUGGGACGCUACGUUUGCAGCCUUCGCGCAGGACUACGCGGAUCAGCGCCACGGCGACUGCCAGCUGAUCCAUACUCCUGAUGGCCGGCCUGUAGGGGAGAACCUCUACGGAGGCGGCGGCGGCGGGACCGAGUGGACGGCGACGGACGCCGUGAAUUCGUGGGUGUCGGAGAAGCAGUACUACGACCAUGACAGCAACACCUGCUCGGCGCCAGAGGGUGAGUCGUGCGGGCACUACAGGCGGGUGGUGUGGCGCGACUCGACGGCCAUCGGUUGCGCCCGCGUCGUCUGCGACAGCGGCGACGGUGUGUUCAUCGAGACCUGCUCCGGUGCUCCCCCUAACCUAAUUUCGGAGGGGUAUUUUUGUCCCGCGAGUUUGUUUUUUUCCUGGCCCGCCGUAGCCCAGAUCCAAGCCCUGUCUAGCCCUGUAUAA